GUCGUCGACGCAGCACCGGCAACUUGGAGAGCGUCGUACCAUUGAAAAGUGGUGAGACCGUGACCCUAUAGCAGUGUCCACAUAAUGGCAGGGAAAUGCAGGGAUCCCGCAGCCAUGGCUACAGCAGCACGGCGUGUAAUCUGGAUGUCAUGUCAGGGUACACGUGCACUCACUUCAAGACGACGACCCUCCACCUCAAAAACAGUCUCUCUUCAAAGACUAGCAGGUAGAUUAAAUGAAAGGAAAAUACCACAUCCAUAACCAGACAGAUACUAUGUUUUCCUUACAUUUAACCUCCUUCUUUCUUAGG
rnacentral:lncRNA from 1 species